CAACUCUUCGAAAGGGGAGCUAAUACCGAAUGUGGUCCCCCCCCGCAUGUGGGGGAGACUAAAGGUGGAAUCCUUCGGGAUCUGCCGCUUCUGGAGGGGCCCGCGUGACAUCAGCUUGUUGGUGAGGUAAUGGCUCACCAAGGCUUACGUCUAGCCGGUCUGAGAGGAUGGUCAGCCACACUGGGACUGAGACACUGCCCAGACUCCUACGGGAGGCUGCAGUCGAGAAUCAUUCACAAUGCGCGAAAGCGUGAUGAUGCGGCGCUGCGUGGAGGAUGAAGGCCCUAGGGUUGUAAACUCCUGUCAUGAGGGAAAAACCGCACGGAUGUAAAUAGCGUCUGUGUUUGAUGGUACCUCAAGAGGAAGCCACGGCUAACUCUGUGCCAGCAGCCGCGGUGAUACAGAGGUGGCGAGCGUUGUUCGGAUUUACUGGGCGUAAAGCGUACGUAGGUGGUUUCGUGUGUCGGGUGUGAAAGCCCACGGCCCAACCGUGGAAUUGCACUCGAAACUGCGGGACUUGAGUGCAGGAGGGGAGAGCGGAAUUCAGGGUGUAGCGGUGAAAUGCGUUGAUAUCCUGAAGAACACCGGUGGCGAAGGCGGCUCUCUGGAAUGUUACUGACACUGAGGUACGAAAGCGUGGGGAGCGAACAGGAUUAGAUACCCUGGUAGUCCACGCCGUAAACGUUGUGCACUUGGUGUGGGCGGUAUUGACCCCGUCCGUGCCGGAGCUAACGCGUUAAGUGCACCGCCUGGGGAGUACGGCCGCAAGGCUAAAACUCAAAGAAAUUGACGGGGGCCCGCACAAGCGGAGGAGCAUGUGGCUCAAUUCGAUGCAACGCGAAGAACCUUACCUGGACUUGACAUGUAACUGCAUGCCCCGGGAAACCGGGGAGGCCUUCGAGGGUGUUACACAGGUGCUGCAUGGCUGUCGUCAGUUCGUGCCGUGAGGUGUUGGGUUAAGUCCCGCAACGAACGCAACCCUUGUGUUUAGUUGCCACCGGUGGUGAUGAGCCACCGAGCACUCUAAACAGACUGCCUGUACAAGCAGGAGGAAGGUGGGGAUGACGUCAAGUCAGUAUGGCCCUUAUGUCCAGGGCUGCACACGUGCUACAAUGGCCGGUACAAUGGGAAGCAAUACCGCGAGGUGGAGCAAAUCCUCAACACCGGUCCCAGUUCGGAUUGGAGUCUGCAACUCGACUCCAUGAAGUUGGAUUCGCUAGUAAUGCCGUAUCAGCUACGACGGCGUGAAUACGUUCCCGGGCCUUGUACACACCGCCCGUCACAUCAUGAAAGCCGUCUGCACCCGAAGUCGCCGAGCUAACCCGCAAGGGAGGCAGGUGCCGAAGGUGUGGGUGGUGAUUGGGAUGAAGUCGAAACAAGGUA
rnacentral:rRNA from 1 species